rnacentral:tRNA from 1 species
GCUUCAGUAGCUUAAUUCUAAAGCAUUGGUCUUGUAAACCAAAGAAUAAAGUAUAAAACCUUUCUGAAGCU